AGGACGAACGCUGGCGGCGUGCCUAACACAUGCAAGUCGAACGAAGAAUGUUUUCGGAAUAUUCUUAGUGGCGGACGGGUGAGUAACGCGUGAACAAUCUGCCCCGUACAAAGGGAUAGCCUCGGGAAACCGGGAUUAAAACCAUAUAACGCUUUAGUACCGCAUGGUAAUAAAGUCAAAUCGAUUAAGAGGUAUGGGAUGAGUUCGCGUCUGAUUAGCUAGUUGGUGAGGUAAGGGCUCACCAAGGCGACGAUCAGUAGCCGGCCUGAGAGGGUGAACGGCCACACUGGAACUGAGACACGGUCCAGACUCCUACGGGAGGCAGCAGUGGGGAAUAUUGCACAAUGGAGGGAACUCUGAUGCAGCGACGCCGCGUGAGUGAAGAAGGUCUUCGGAUCGUAAAACUCUGUCCUUGGUGAAGAAAAGGACGGUAGCCAAGGAGGAAGCCCCGGCUAACUACGUG
rnacentral:rRNA from 1 species